UACGGAGGGUGCAAGCGUUGCUCAGAAUCAUUGGGCGUAAAGCGUACGCAGGCUGUUCGUUAAGUCGGGUGUGAAAGCCCGGGGCUCAACCCCGGAAAUGCGCCCGAAACUGGCGAGCUUGAGUGCGGGAGAGGGAAGCGGAAUUCCUGGUGUAGAGGUGAAAUUCGUAGAUAUCAGGAGGAACACCGGUGGCGAAAGCGGCUUCCUGGCCCGACACUGACGCUCAUGUACGAAAGCGUGGGGAGCAAACAGG
rnacentral:rRNA from 1 species